rnacentral:rRNA from 1 species
UACGAAGGGGGCUAGCGUUGCUCGGAAUCACUGGGCGUAAAGCGCUCGUAGGCGGAUUGUUAAGUCGGGGGUGAAAUCCUGGAGCUCAACUCCAGAACUGCCUUCGAUACUGGCAAUCUUGAGUCCGGGAGAGGUGAGUGGAACUCCGAGUGUAGAGGUGAAAUUCGUAGAUAUUCGGAAGAACACCAGUGGCGAAGGCGGCUCACUGGCCCGGUACUGACGCUGAGGUGCGAAAGCGUGGGAGCAACAGGG